rnacentral:rRNA from 1 species
GUCCCUACGGGAGGCAGCAGGGGGGAAUUUUGGACAAUGGGCCCAAGCCGGACCCAACCAUCCCGCGCGCCGGAUGAAGCCCUUCGGGUUGUAAACUGCUUUUGUCCGGAACGAUAGGGCUCUUUUUAUUAAAGAGGGCUAAUCACGGUACCGUAAGAAUAAGCCCCGGCUAAUUAUGUGCCAGCAGCCGCGGUAAUACGUAGGGUGCAAGCGUUAAUCGGAAUUAUUGGGCGUAAAGGGUGUACAGGCGGUUAUGUAAGACAGUUGUGAAAUCCCCGGGCUCAACCUGGGAACUGCAUCUGUGACUGCAUUGCUGGAGUACGGCAGAGGGGGAUGGAAGUCCGCGAGUAGCAGAGAAAAGAGUAGAUAU